rnacentral:rRNA from 1 species
AGGAGUGCUAAUACCGGAUGUGAUCAUCGUGCCGCAUGGCAGGAUGAAGAAAGAUGGCCUCUACAAGUAAGCUAUCGCUAAAGGAUGGGCCUGCGUCUGAUUAGCUAGUUGGUAGUGUAACGGACUACCAAGGCGAUGAUCAGUAGCCGGUCUGAGAGGAUGAACGGCCACAUUGGGACUGAGACACGGCCCAAACUCCUACGGGAGGCAGCAGUGGGGAAUCUUCCGCAAUGGACGAAAGUCUGACGGAGCAACGCCGCGUGAGUGAUGAAGGAUUUCGGUCUGUAAAGCUCUGUUGUUUAUGACGAACGUGCAGUGUGUGAACAAUGCAUUGCAAUGACGGUAGUAAACGAGGAAGCCACGGCUAACUACGUGCCAGCAGCCGCGGUAAUACGUAGGUGGCGAGCGUUGUCCGGAAUUAUUGGGCGUAAAGAGCAUGUAGGCGGCUUAAUAAGUCGAGCGUGAAAAUGCGGGGCUCAACCCCGUAUGGCGCUGGAAACUGUUAGGCUUGAGUGCAGGAGAGGAAAGGGGAAUUCCCAGUGUAGCGGUGAAAUGCGUAGAUAUUGGGAGGAACACCAGUGGCGAAGGCGCCUUUCUGGACUGUGUCUGACGCUGAGAUGCGAAAGCCAGGGUAGCGAACGGGAUUAGAUACCCCGGUAGUCCUGGCCGUAAACGAUGGGUACUAGGUGUAGGAGGUAUCGACCCCUUCUGUGCCGGAGUUAACGCAAUAAGUACCCCGCCUGGGGAGUACGGCCGCAAGGUUG